rnacentral:rRNA from 1 species
GACGUAGGUGGCGAACGUUAUCCGGAAUUAUUGGGCGUAAAGGGUGCGUAGGCGGCUGAGCAAGUUGGUGGUGAAAACGAGGCUCACCCUUGUGGAAGCCAGUAAUACUGUUCGGCUCGAGGAUAGGAGAGGUUAACGGAACUCCCGGUGGAGCGGUAAAAUGCAUAGAUAUCGGGAAGAACACCAAUAACGGCGAAGGCAGUUAACUAUCCUAAUCCUGACGUUGAGGCACGAAAGCGUGGGGAGCAAAACGG